GCCUGUUGUCCUGUGCUUUCUAAGGAAUGCAAGCAGUGUCAUUUGUAGGUGUGGAAGAAAGUGUUGGUCUUCCAUUACAGCAGAAGGAGCUACAGCCCAAGGAGAUACUUGGGUGUCAGGAAGAGGACUCAAACUCAAGAACAUUUGGGAGUCAUUUAAGACAGGAAGACAACAUCCACUCGAGUUUAAUUCCCUGUGCUUGGCUGUGAGUGGUGCAUAAAUCACCUGAGACCCUCCAUUCCUCUGUAAUUUACUGUUGGAAAGGACAGAAAUAAAUUCUAACAUAUUUGUGAGA